AGGUGGGGUAUCUGAAGUUUUUUAUAUAUAAUUUAACGAAAUGUUAACAGAGGAGCUAACAAAAAAAAGGAAGAAACUACAGGUAGUACCCCGUGGUUUUAUUUUUCUUUCUUUAUUAUUCCCUUCACUAAUUUUUUUUCGUUAAAUCAGUGACAAAGUUAAAACUAAAAGAUAUUUAAGUGAAUAUUCGAUAAAUCAAGAUGGGGUACCUGAAGCUUUUUAUAUAUAAUUUAACGAAAUGUUAAUAGAGGAGCCGGCGCAAAAAAAAAAGGAAGGAACUACAGGAUAUUAAAUUGAUACACUUUAAGUCUUUAAACUAUAAGGAUACUAAAGUGAGAAAAUGCGAAGCCACAGGAGUGGUAUUUAAUGUUUAUCCUAAUAUUUUUAUAUCGCUCCCAAACAUGCCUUAAAUGUAAUUAGGUUUAGUUUGGUGUUGAGGCGGAUCUAACGCUAUUAGAUAGAAUGGAGUUGAAAAAAAGCAUAUAGAAAUAUGCUUCUGUUUUCUUCGAUGGGACUGCAGAAAAUAUAUCGUAACCGACUAACUGCAAUAUGCGGAACGCAAUAUUACAUACGGAAACAAACAGAGCGUCGUUUCACACCGCCCGUAACACAAUCUCCCCGCAAUUCCAAACGAAGCCUUAAUCUGGAUACUAAAUUACUAUAUCAUUCAGAAUA
rnacentral:lncRNA from 1 species